rnacentral:rRNA from 1 species
CUUAAGCAUAUCAAUAAGCGGAGGAAAAGAAACCAACAGGGAUUGCCCUAGUAACGGCGAGUGAAGCGGCAACAGCUCAAAUUUGAAAUCUGGCUUCGGCCCGAGUUGUAAUUUGCAGAGGAUGUUUCUGGCGCGGUGCCUUCCGAGUUCCCUGGAACGGGACGCCACAGAGGGUGAGAGCCCCGUAUGGUCGGACACCAAGCCUGUGUGAAACUCCUUCAACGAGUCGAGUAGUUUGGGAAUGCUGCUCUAAAUGGGAGGUAAAUCUCUUCUAAAGCUAAAUACCGGCCAGAGACCGAUAGCGCACAAGUAGAGUGAUCGAAAGAUGAAAAGCACCUUGAAAAGGGGGUUAAAUAGUACGUGAAAUUGUUGAAAGGGAAGCACUUAUGACCAGACUUGGGCCGGGCGGCUCAUCAGGGGUUCUCCCCUGUGCACUCCGCCCGGCACAGGCCAGCAUCGGUUUUCGCGGGGGGAUAAGACCGACGGGAACGUAGCACCCUCCGGGGUGUGUUAUAGCCCGGCGGACGAUACCCUCGCGGGGACCGAGGUCCGCGCUCCGCAAGGA